rnacentral:rRNA from 1 species
CACGUAGGGCGCAAGCGUUGUCCGGAAUUAUUGGGCGUAAAGAGCUCGUAGGUGGUUUGUUACGUCUGCUGUGAAAACCUAGGGCUUAACCCUGGGCUUGCAGUGGAUACGGGCAGACUAGAGGUAGGUAGGGGAGAAUGGAAUUCCUGGUGUAGCGGUGAAAUGCGCAGAUAUCUGGAGGAAUACCGGUGGCGAAGGCGGCAUCCUGGACCGACAUUGACGCUGAGGAGCGAAAGCUAGGGGAGCAAACGGG